rnacentral:rRNA from 1 species
UGGGGAAUAUUGGACAAUGGGCGCAAGCCUGAUCCAGCAAUGCCGCGUGAGUGAUGAAGGCCUUAGGGUUGUAAAGCUCUUUCGCACGCGACGAUGAUGACGGUAGCGUGAGAAGAAGCCCCGGCUAACUUCGUGCCAGCAGCCGCGGUAAUACGAAGGGGGCUAGCGUUGUUCGGAAUUACUGGGCGUAAAGGGCGCGUAGGCGGCCUGUUUAGUCAGAAGUGAAAGCCCCGGGCUCAACCUGGGAAUAGCUUUUGAUACUGGCAGGCUUGAGUUCCGGAGAGGAUGGUGGAAUUCCCAGUGUAGAGGUGAAAUUCGUAGAUAUUGGGAAGAACACCGGUGGCGAAGGCGGCCAUCUGGACGGACACUGACGCUGAGGCGCGAAAGCGUGGGGAGCAAACAGGAUUAGAUACCCUGGUAGUCCACGCCGUAAACGAUGAGUGCUAGACGUCGGGGUGCAUGCACUUCGGUGUCGCCGCUAACGCGUUAAGCAUUCCGCCUGGGGAGUACGG